AUUGAACGCUGGCGGCAGGCCUAACACAUGCAAGUCGAGCGAGCGGCGGACGGGUGAGUAAUGUAUGGGGACUGCCCGAUAGAGGGGGAUAACUACUGGAAACGGUGGCUAAUACCGCAUACUAUCGGAUAACCCAUAUGGGAUUAGCUAGUAGGUGGGGUAAAGGCUCACCUAGGCGACGAUCUCUAGCUGGUCUGAGAGGAUGAUCAGCCAGACUGGGACUGAGACACGUCCCAGACUCCUACGGGGGCAGCAGGGGGGAAUAUUUCGAAAGGGGGGCAACCCUAACGAAGACAGGCCGCGUGAAUGAGAAGGGCCUUCGGGUUGUAAAGUUCGUUCAGUGGCGAGGCGUUAACUGCAGAAGAAGCACCGGCUAACUCCGUGCCAGCAGCCGCGGUAAUAC
rnacentral:rRNA from 1 species